GUAUUAAAGGCAACGCCUGCCCAGUGAAAAUUAAACGGCCGCGGUACCCUAACCGUGCAAAGGUAGCAUAAUCAUUUGUCUAUUAAUUGUAGACCUGUAUGAAAGGCAAAAUGAGAGCCCAACUGUCUCUUAUAAUAAAUCAAUUAAACUGAUCUUCUAGUACAAAAGCUAGAAUACCAACAUAAGACCAGAAGACCCUGUGAAGCUUUAACUAACCUAUUAAACCCAAUAAUAGUUACUUUCGGUUGGGGCGACCUUGGAAUAAAAAAGAACUUCCAACAAUAUGACUAAUCAUGAAACAAGGCGAACAAGCCAACACUAGACCCAGUACUACUGAUAAUUGAAAUAGGUUACUCCAGGGAUAACWGCGCCAUCUUCUUUAAGAGCCCAUAUCAAAAAGAAGGUUUACGACCUCGAUGUUGGAUCAGGGCAUCCCAGUAAUGCAACCGUUACUAAAGGUUCGUUUGUUCAACGAUUAACAGCCCUACGUGAUCUGAG
rnacentral:rRNA from 1 species